rnacentral:lncRNA from 1 species
AGGCUAGGGUGUCCUAUUUAUGAUGUGAAAAGAUUUUAUUUAUGGAGUCUCCAAUGCGUUGUCAGGAUACCAUCGGCACAUGAAUAUUUAGGAUAAAAAAUAGGUGAUGUGACUUCCUCGAUGGUUAUCGCCAGACAAAUAAACGUUCGCGCAUUUUAUCCACCAGUAACCAGUUAUAAUCAAGCUAGAGUGUCCUAUUUAUGAUGCGAAAAUAUUUUAUUAUUUAUGGAGUCUUCAACGUGUCAGGAUACCAUCGGCACAUGAAUAUGUAGGAUAAAAAAUUGAUGAUGUGACUUCCUUGGUGGUUAGAAGAUUACUGCAUGAGAUGCGGGUGCUCACUUCUUAGUAAGACUCCGAACCAGGCGAGGUGGGUCACAUCCACCCGGAGAAGAUUUGUGAAGUAGCUGUACAUUCCAUACUUCCUGUAGCUCUUCACUUUCAACUACAUAGUGACCUAUAGAAACUCGCAAAUAUGUCGUCAGAAUCAGAUACCGAGCUCAAAAAAGAAUGUAACGGGCAUGAAGUUGAGGUCAUUCAAUGUGAAGCAGAUGCUGUCCAUUACCGUAUAAGAGGAGCUGAGAGAGAGAAGCAUUUACCACCAAAGGAAGAUCCGGAAAGUGAAGAAAAGACGGCAAGUAAAAAAAAUACGGGAACGGAAACGUUUAUUCAGAACUUAAAAAGAAAAGUAACAAGCUUACUGAAAAAAACAGAGAGCCAAGAGUAUUCCGCACCAUCUCCAGCCAACUCUUCACCCGAGACUAGUCAGAACUCCAAAGCCGGUGAAAAUCUUGAAUGUGUUAAAACAGAUGAAGCAGUUGCACAAGCUAGUGGCACAGUUGAAAAGCAAUUCUGAUGUUUGUGGGCUCAAGUGACCAACAUUAUGGGUUUCCAGUAAAACAUCCUGUAGCUUGUUGACAGGAUUUAUCUAUCAGAUAAUUUUAAUUGACUUAUGUCCCAUGCUUAUGGAAGAACCACCCAGUAUUUUUUUAAUAUAAAGUAAAAUUCAAAGUCAGUUUAGCCAUUAUUUAGCAUUUAUGUAAGAAAUUAUUUUGUUAUAUGUAGUGAUAAAAGUUUAUAUAGCAGUGAGUCAUGAUAUAACAUGCAAGAAGAGGUUAUACUUACUGAAGCAGGUUUUCUAUGAAUAGCUUUGUUUUAUUCAUUGUGUGUUGUGCAGUGUGCUUUUUGAAAUCCAGUCUAAUGUGUUUACCACUAACCUUACUCAUGUGUUGGUAGUGAGUAAAAUGGUUGCUAUAGAAAUUUUACUUAAUAUUAUAAGUAAAGUGUUAUGAUAGUCAUGUCACUAUUUCUUUAUACAGAUAACAAAAUGCUUGUUUUGAGAUGUUUGGUAGUUUUAUUUUUACAUCUGUUAGUACCAUAGUUUUCGAGGUCUCCAGUUGGGGUCUUGAUCCCUGACCUCUCCUCCCCUUUUUCCCAAAGAUGUCUCAUUGUAAAAGAGCAGCACCUAACCUUGCUAAGGUGACUGUUAGACCAGCAUAACUUGACUCAGGCCCCUAUAUUUGUUUUUUUAUACAUUAGUUUUCUAUGUAUUUGUAUAUGAAUACCUUUGUGCACUUGUACAUAAUUUUAUGUAUUUACACAAGUACAUGUAAACUAAUAUGUAUAGGUGGGUGUAUACAUGAGUGUGCACCUGUUUGUGCAUAUGUGUGAUAGAAUGUUUAUGUAUGUUAGGCAAAAGAAUUUAGGUGGGAGCAUACUUUCCUGUGUAGAUAAUUUUAUAUAUGCAGUUCAAAAAGGAAAGUAACUUUCCUCUGUACUUUUAUAUAUGUAGUUUAAAAAGGAAAGUAACAAUCAUUAACUGAGGGUCUUUAAACCUGAAAGAGAUGUUGUCCAUAACCCCUCAGAAAGAAGCACCAAGAGAGAUUUAACCAAAAUAGGACAGCCCAAACAAGCAGUAACUUUCCUGUAUGGUUCCUAAAACGUACAUAUGUACGCUAAUAUUUGUGUGUGCACGAUUAUUCAUUGGAGGUCAUGUAACAUUGACAACUGGCUCUUAAUUCUCUGGCAAUGAGAGAGACGUUAUCCAAUAUAUCAAUAUGCUUACAACACCCAUGCCUUACUUGCCCUUGUAUCAUUGGGCCAUUCUUACAUUCUGAUAUUUUUUUCUCUUUAUAUAAACCUGAAAAUAACAGAUAAUUUUUUAACUUUCUGAGCAGUUUACCCUUGUUACAAGUGAAGGUAGUGUAGUGAGGAAGACUACCAAUACUUGUGCAUUAUUACUGUAGCCAUAGUAUUUUAUUUUAUUUAUUUAUUAUUAUUAAUUUUUUUUUUGUAUGAAACACUGAAAAAUUUUACCAUAAAUCUGUGAAAUACAAUUGAAAAAUUUAAUGUAUUUUUAAUUGAUUUUCUUAUAUAACAGAUGAAGUGCAACAUAUAAGGCAUCCUUACUGUGUAUACCAGUGUUAAUGUUAAAAGUUAAAAGUUAAAAUGUAAGCCUGAAGCAUUGAAAGUUUUGGCACUUGAAAAUUAAAUACUUCAGCUAGCCUCUCAACAGAUGUUUCUUGCUUGUCAAAUGAGGUCUUUAUAUUUUUAUAUGAAUAUUCUGUUAAUAUAUAUUGUUUCUUAUGUAUUUUAUUUUGUAGAGUGAUUUUAAGUAUUAUAUUGCAUAAUAUUCUUUAUUCAGAUGAAUAAGAAAUUAAUUAUGACUGGCAUAAGAAAUAAAAUUGUGUACAUAUCUAGAAACUAUAUGAUCCUCACACCCUGCCCAUUGAUGUCAUGGAUGAUGACGAUGUUUAUCCUGAAUUUUAUAACCACAUUGCAUGACUCGUUAGAAACCUAUCAGAACAGUAUAUAAAAUAUAUAUAGUAAUGGAAAAUUAGUUAAACAUGUAGUUUCAAAUUUGUCUAAAGAAUAGCUUUUCAGUCAAGGAACUUUAUAAAUUCACUCGGCUGGGAAUGGAUAUGCUAAAAAAAUUAGAUUGUGGUUGGGCAUCACUCCUUUGGAUAAUGCCUUUGCAAUAACAAAUUGAUGUGUAUCACUUUUGUUGUUCUAGUUGCUGUUAUUAAUACUACUUUCAUUAUCAUUAUUAUUGUUAUUAUUUUAAUUAUUUUAAAUAUUAAUUUUAGGAGUAGUAGUAUCAUUAUUACUAUUUAUAGUAUUAUUGUUGUUCUAUUAUCAUGAUUGUCAUUGACAAUAUUAUAGUCAUUGUUAUUUGUGUAUGUUGUUAUGUACUGACUUUUAAUAUAAUCAUAUAUAUUUUGUUCUUUAUUUGCUUCUGACAUUACUUUUUGUCUUGUAGUCAUUGUUGUUACAGUUAUGAUUGCCAUAACAUAUAAAAAAGGUUAUAAUAGUAUAUGCAAUUAUCAUGAUGACUGUCAAUAAUACACAUCUGUCCAAGGUUGAAAUGGAAGCCGUGCCUUCCUGUCCCACUCCAAAGGAAACAACUGAUCACACCUACCACACCCAAGCCUUACUUGCCCGGUACUUUCUCGCCCUCGAGCAAUUCCAGCGUACUCACCACUUGUCACAGCUGGAAGUACUGACAACCAAAGAAUCAAAAGCAGGCACCCACCAGCAGGACAGCAGUUGCAAAAUAUAAGGACAUCUCGUCAAAAGAAGAGGCAGACCAGAGACCUAGCAGAGAGAAGAACAGCAGUAGUCACAGGACAAGGUCGUCACCCUCCACCCUCAGCACCCGGGGCACGGGGUCUCCCAUGGAGUCAUGCCUUUCUUCCAUAAUAAACCAGGAAGCCAAGACCCCUUUCAUUCCACCAACCUCCAUGCCCUCCACUCGUUCAAGGUUGAAACGGAAGCUGUGCUUUCCAGUCCCAGUCCAGAGGUAACAGCUGAUCACACCUACCACGCCCAAACCUUACUUGCCCAAUACUUUCUCACCCUUGAGCAAUUCCAGCAAACUCACCCCUUGUCACGGCCGGAAGUAAUGACAACUGAAAAAUCAAAAGCAGGCACCUGCCAGCAGGACAGCAGUCGCAAAAUAUAUGGACGUCUUGUCAGAGAAGCAGAACAGGAGUAGUCACAGUACAGGAGGUCAUCCUCCGCCCUAGGCAUUCGGGGCACAUCUUUAGCUCUCCCAAUAAACCAGCAAGCCAAGACCCCUUUCAUUACCACCAACCACCAUGCCCCACCACCCUAUCACAAAGACAUUAAUUUUUAUCUAUACUAAUACUUUUAUCAUCAUUAUUUUUAGCACCAUUGUUAUUGUAAGAACUCAUCUUUAAUUAUAUUCCCCUUUUCAUUGUAAUCAUUGUCAGUAGGUUCAUGUGCCACUGUCUGGUGAAAAACAGAAGUUAGUUUUGUCAUAUGUAUGUUGAAGAAAAGCACAAUUUUCCUAGUUGCAGUUGUAGUUAUCAUAUAUUUAUAUUAUCUUUAAGUAUUCCUGACAAAGUAUUUGCUACAUCAUUAGUGUGUUACUAUAUUUAAUAUCUGGUAUGCAAGUGAUCAUUUAUACAUGUGCAAAAACUCUUCAAGAGUGGAGAUAUUAUAAACUUGUUAGCAUUUUUAUUGUUUUUCAGGCAUUAUAGUGUCAAGCUUAAUUCUUAAUUUAUUCUUUUGUUACAUAGUGUUCUAUGAUUUUGCGUUAUUUUGCUUUAUGUAAUGAAAGAUGCUCUCUAUGUACAAAAAAACUUUAAAAUAUUUCCCUCUUA